rnacentral:rRNA from 1 species
GACGAACGCUGGCGGCGUGCUUAACACAUGCAAGUCGAACGGAAAGGCCCUUCGGGGUACUCGAGUGGCGAACGGGUGAGUAACACGUGGGUGAUCUGCCCUGCACUUUGGGAUAAGCCUGGGAAACUGGGUCUAAUACCGAAUAGGACCACGCGCUUCAUGGUGUGUGGUGGAAAGCUUUUGCGGUGUGGGAUGGGCCCGCGGCCUAUCAGCUUGUUGGUGGGGUAAUGGCCUACCAAGGCGACGACGGGUAGCCGGCCUGAGAGGGUGACCGGCCACACUGGGACUGAGGUACGGCCCAGACUGCUACGGGAGGCAGCAGUGGGGAAUAUUGCACAAUAGGCGCCAGCCUGAUGCAGCGACGCCGCGUGAGGAAUGACGGCCUUCGGGUUGUAAACCUCUUUCAAUAGAGACGAAGCGCAAGUGACGGUACCUAUAGAAGAAGCACCGGCCAACUACGUG